AAAAAAUUGCAUGCAGUCGGGCUGCAGACGGAGCGCCCUGCAGUCCGUCGCGCGAUGCCCUCCGCGUGGGAUCGGACGGAGGCACCCUCGCUCGGCUCGAUAGUCGCUGGCUCAUUUACGUAUGCGCCGUCCGCGUGGUACUUUCUGUCCGCGGCUCGCUCGGCUCGCUCAUCAUCGCGUCCGCCGCGAUCCUCGCGAUCAGUUGCCCUCGGCUCGCGUAAUCUCGUGAUCACAUCAGUUGCCGUUCCUCCUGCUCGUCUCCACGGCCUCCUCCUCGGCCGCCUCCACCGGCACGUCCCACUCGCCGUCGUGGAAGGCGCGCACGUACGACUUGGAAGGUGGGCAUCUUCGCCUCGCUCCAAUUCUGGACGUGCAUCUCCUGCCGCUUCCUCUUCAAC
rnacentral:lncRNA from 1 species